UACGGAGGGGGCUAGCGUUGUUCGGAAUCACUGGGCGUAAAGCGCGCGUAGGUGGACGAUUAAGUCGGGGGUGAAAGCCUGGAGCUCAACUCCAGAACUGCCUUCGAUACUGGUCGUCUUGAGUCCGGGAGAGGUGAGUGGAAUUCCCAGUGUAGAGGUGAAAUUCGUAGAUAUUGGGAAGAACACCAGUGGCGAAGGCGGCUCACUGGCCCGGUACUGACGCUGAGGCGCGAAAGCGUGGGGAGCAAACAGG
rnacentral:misc_RNA from 1 species